AUUGGGCGUAAGGGCUCGCAGGCGGUUUCUUAAGUCUGAUGUGAAAGCCCCCGGCUCAACCGGGGAGGGUCAUUGGAAACUGGGGAACUUGAGUGCAGAAGAGGAGAGUGGAAUUCCACGUGUAGCGGUGAAAUGCGUAGAGAUGUGGAGGAACACCAGUGGCGAAGGCGACUCUCUGGUCUGUAACUGACGCUGAGGAGCGAAAGCGUGGGGAGCGAACAGGAUUAGAUACCCUGGUAGUCCACGCCGUAAACGAUGAGUGCUAAGUGUUAGGGGGUUUCCGCCCCUUAGUGCUGCAGCUAACGCAUUAAGCACUCCGCCUGGGGAGUACGGUCGCAAGACUGAAACUCAAAGGAAUUGACGGGGGCCCGCACAAGCGGUGGAGCAUGUGGUUUAAUUCGAAGCAACGCGAAGAACCUUACCAGGUCUUGACAUCCUCUGACAAUCCUAGAGAUAGGACGUCCCCUUCGGGGGCAGAGUGACAGGUGGUGCAUGGUUGUCGUCAGCUCGUGUCGUGAGAUGUUGGGUUAAGUCCCGCAACGAGCGCAACCCUUGAUCUUAGUUGCCAGCAUUCAGUUGGGCACUCUAAGGUGACUGCCGGUGACAAACCGG
rnacentral:rRNA from 1 species